rnacentral:rRNA from 1 species
UACCCGCAGCACAAGUGGUGGUCAUUAUUAUUGGGCCUAAAGCGUCCGUAGCUGGCCUGUUAGAUGCCUGGGUAAAUCGAUGCGCUUAACGCAUCGAACUCCGGGUAGACCGGCAGGCUCGAGACCGGGAGAGGUGUAGGCUACUCGCGGGGUAGGGGUAAAAUCCUGUAAUCCUGCGGGGAGGACCAGUGGCGAAGGCGCUACACUAGAACGGCUCUGACAGUGAGGGACGAAGCCCUGGGGCGCAAACCGG